rnacentral:rRNA from 1 species
CGAACGGGAUCCAUCAAGCUUGCUUGGUGGUGAGAGUGGCGAACGGGUGAGUAAUGCGUGACCGACCUGCCCCAUACACCGGAAUAGCUCCUGGAAACGGGUGGUAAUGCCGGAUGUUCCAGUUGAUCGCAUGGUCUUCUGGGAAAGCUUUCGCGGUAUGGGAUGGGGUCGCGUCCUAUCAGCUUGACGGCGGGGUAACGGCCCACCGUGGCUUCGACGGGUAGCCGGCCUGAGAGGGCGACCGGCCACAUUGGGACUGAGAUACGGCCCAGACUCCUACGGGAGGCAGCAGUGGGGAAUAUUGCACAAUGGGCGCAAGCCUGAUGCAGCGACGCCGCGUGAGGGAUGGAGGCCUUCGGGUUGUAAACCUCUUUUAUCGGGGAGCAAGCGUGAGUGAGUUUACCCGUUGAAUAAGCACCGGCUAACUACGUGCCAGCAGCCGCGGUAAUACGUAGGGUGCAAGCGUUAUCCGGAAUUAUUGGGCGUAAAGGGCUCGUAGGCGGUUCGUCGCGUCCGGUGUGAAAGUCCAUCGCUUAACGGUGGAUCCGCGCCGGGUACGGGCGGGCUUGAGUGCGGUAGGGGAGACUGGAAUUCCCGGUGUAACGGUGGAAUGUGUAGAUAUCGGGAAGAACACCAAUGGCGAAGGCAGGUCUCUGGGC